AGCCUGAGAGUCAAACACAGCCACGACACGAGACGAGCAUCGCGCGGGGACACACGAGGCCAGCGGCAGCGACAGCGUCAGACAGAGACGGCGCACACUCACAGACGGAAAAAUUGCGGGUUUAGUCGAGAGAUCAGAUUUUACUCAGCGGCAGGAAAACCCUAGGAAAGCUGCUAGGCUUCCCGACUCAUUCUUUGAUUCUCAGGAGCGGGAGAGCGGGGUCAACGAACGGAGCAGAACGUUUGGAGAAGGAAACGGCGAGAACAUCUGGAGACAAAGCAGAAAGAAAUCAGAGCGAAGGCAAGGCCAUGGCAGCAGAAUUUUGCUAGGUAAUCGCUAAAAUCGUUAAAAGUUAAAAUAAAGAAAACCAGAAAACAAGAUCACAGCCGGACCAAAAACAGAAGAAGGGAAAAUUAACUGUAACAAGAAAGAACUGUGAAAUAAAAUGCGAAAUGAUUUGUGAAACGACCAAAUCAACAAUUUAAUACGGCAUCAAUACUCUACCAAAAAAAAUCACCAAAUAAAAUAAAAACAAAAACCGAACUUCGAGAAGGCCUUUGUCGAGUACCCAAGAAAGAUAAAAUAGAAUCAAUUGGAGACACAGCACGAACUUCGAAGCCGUUAUACUCUCCUCUGCAAGUUAGAGUAUGCAGUAGCGCGACGUUUAAGCGAAAGAGAGUGUGGAGAGAGAGAACGAUGCAAGCAGCAAAGCACUCGCACCGAUUCUUACGGUGUUUGUUUUGAUUAUUCCGUUUGCUGACUUCUUCGUCUCGUUGGUGGUUAAAUUAUGAAAUAUUUGCAUUUCAUCUUUAUAUACAUAUGUACAUAUGUAUGUAUGUAUUGUAUGU